rnacentral:lncRNA from 1 species
AUGAAAAGUAAAUGGCAGCACUCACCCAGAAAGCUGAACACCUGUGGGGCACAGCCCCACUUAUGCAUGGGGGCUAUAACAGGCUGCAUCUGGGCUUGCUUGACUGGUUACUGGAGGGGGAGGCAUAGGGUAGCUCUGAGCCUUGACCAGAAAACAGCUGAUUUGGAGGCUUUGCUUGUGCUGCUUUGGCUUGGAAAUAGGAGGGGUUUACUGGAAGUGGAAGUUAAACCCCUCAUCUCGGAGGAAGUGUCCAAGCUUUUCAGAGUUAAGGCUUACUGCACAGCACCCUGUCAGAUCACUUCUAUUCAUAUGAAAGUCACUAAGCUGAAUCAAUGA